rnacentral:lncRNA from 1 species
UCUUACUCAUCCUACCACUCUUUAUCACUUCCUACUUUUCUUUUCUUUUUCCUCUUCUUUUGUUGUAUUCCUCCUUCAUUGUUGCUCUCUGUUUCCCUCUUUUUUAUAUCUCUCUCUUUAGUACACACACUCUCUGGAUAAUACAAUUUUAUUCCUUUUCUCUCCGUCUUUGCCUUGUGUUCCCACUCAUUUUGUGAAGUCUUCCUCUCUAACGCCUAUUAGUACCACUUUACUACUCACUCUCACUCACAUCCUCUCUCUCUCUAUCCCUUUUAUACAUGCACACCCUCCGUCUUUCUCUGCGCCUGAUACUAUUACGCUUUCUGACUUCGUUUGUUUUUCUCUUACUCCCCCCCAUUUACUUGCUACCCUCACUCCAUUAUUACUUAUACAUUCACCAACUCCCACUCAAUUACACACCGAAGCUUCACUCACUUAUACGGCAUUGCUACCCCCUCUCUUUCUCUCUCACUUACUCAUUUACAGACACAUACACUUAUUACGGUUUCUUCCUUUAUCCUUCUCUCUUUCUCUGUCAUACACUCUCCCUGACACAUUCGGCAUUGCUACUCUCUCUACAUAGUCUCCUCACCCUUUACCUCCACAUAGUCACACACAAAGCCUAGCUACUCUCUCUCUCUCUAAAGACAGUCUUUUCCUUCUUCUGCAUCCCCCUUUCUCUCUACUUACACAUUGCUACUCUCUCCGCUCUCUCUCCCUUUCUCUCUCACUUUACUCAAUCUCAUACUGUGUCUGUUUUUCUGUCACAGAUACACUCACAGACAUUGCUACCCUCACUGAACCCCUUUCUCCACACAGAUUUCUCUUCCUCUCCCUCUGUCUUCACAGUGUCUCUCUCUCUCUCCCUCUCUCUCACGUUCUCCCGCCUCCUCUUCCUCUUUCCAUCCCUCUCGUCUCCACUUUUGUCUCUCUCUCCCAAACUCUCAUCUGCCGGGGCUGAGUGAAGUUUGCUGUGUUUGCCAGACGACCAUGGCGCAAAACGCCACGGGCGGUGCUGUGAAGGCUUUACAAUUGGAACUGAAGAAAAUCCAAGAGGAACCGGUCGAAGGAUUUCGAGUAAAUUUGACGAACGAUGACAAUUUAUUUGUGUGGGAGGUGGCGAUUUUCGGUCCCCCCAGUACAUUGUAUGAAGGGGGUUAUUUCAAGGUGAGUAAG